CCCGGUGGUAAUAGCGACAGGGCCACACCUGUUCCCAUUCCGAACACAGAAGUUAAGCCUGUCAACGUCGAUGGUACUGCACCUGAGAAGGUGUGGGAGAGUAGAAAGCUGCCGGGU
rnacentral:rRNA from 1 species